UUGUGUGAGGGAUAGAAGUGAAAAUCCUUUUUUAUAAAUUUUUUCUAUUUAUUAAAAAGAUUGUAACGAAUAGCCCGACCCGCU
rnacentral:sRNA from 1 species